rnacentral:rRNA from 1 species
GACGAACGCUAGCGGCGUGCCUAAUACAUGCAAGUCGAGCGAGACUCUUCGGAGUCUAGCGGCGGACGGGUGAGUAACACGUGGGCAACCUGCCUGUAAGACUGGGAUAACACCGGGAAACCGGUGCUAAUACCGGAUAAUCCUUUUCCUCUCAUGAGGAAAAGCUGAAAGUCGGUUUCGGCUGACACUUACAGAUGGGCCCGCGGCGCAUUAGCUAGUUGGUGUGGUAACGGCUCACCAAGGCGACGAUGCGUAGCCGACCUGAGAGGGUGAUCGGCCACACUGGGACGGAGACACGGCCCAGACUCCUACGGGAGGCAGCAGUAGGGAAUCUUCCACAAUGGACGAAAGUCUGAUGGAGCAACGCCGCGUGAGCGAUGAAGGCCUUCGGGUCGUAAAGCUCUGUUGUUAGGGAAGAACAAGUAUCGGAGUAACUGCCGGUACCUUGACGGUACCUAACCAGAAAGCCACGGCUAACUACGUGCCAGCCGCCGCAGUAAUAC